rnacentral:rRNA from 1 species
GACUCCUACGGGAGGCAGCAGUAGGGAAUCUUCGGCAAUGGACGAAAGUCUGACCGAGCAACGCCGCGUGAGUGAAGAAGGUUUUCGGAUCGUAAGACUCUGUUGGUAGAGAAGAACGUUGGUGAGAGUGGAAAGCUCAUCAAGUGACGGUAACUACCCAGAAAGGGACGGCUAACUACGUGCCAGCAGCCGCGGUAAUACGUAGGUCCCGAGCGUUGUCCGGAUUUAUUGGGCGUAAAGCGAGCGCAGGUGGUUUAUUAAGUCUGGUGUAAAAGGCAGUGGCUCAACCAUUGUAUGCAUUGGAAACUGGUAGACUUGAGUGCAGGAGAGGAGAGUGGAAUUCCAUGUGUAGCGGUGAAGUGCGUAGAUAUAUGGAGGAACACCGGUGGCGAAAGCGGCUCUCUGGCCUGUAACUGACACUGAGGCUCGAAAGCGUGGGGAGCAAACAGGAUUAGAUACCCUGGUGGUCCACGCCGUAAACGAUGAGUGCUAGAUGUAGGGAGCUAUAAGUUCUCUGUAUCGCAGCUAACGCAAUAAGCACUCCGCCUGGGGAGUACGACCGCAAGGUUGAAACUCAAAGGAAUUGACGGGGGCCCGCACAAG